rnacentral:rRNA from 1 species
CCUACGGGUGGCUGCAGUAAGGAAUAUUGGUCAAUGGUGGAAACACUGAACCAGCCAUCCCGCGUGCAGGACGAAGGCCCUCUGGGUUGUAAACUGCUUUUACCAGGAAAGAAACGAGUGGACUUGUCCGCUCCUGACGGUACCUGGGGAAUAAGCACCGGCUAACUCCGUGCCAGCAGCCGCGGUAAUACGGAGGGUGCAAGCGUUAUCCGGAAUCACUGGGUUUAAAGGGUGCGUAGGCGGCUUGGUAAGUCAGGGGUGAAAGCUUCCCGCUUAACGGGAGAACUGCCUUUGAUACUGCCAGGCUCGAAUCAGGUUGAGGCAGGCGGAAUGUGGCAUGUAGCGGUGAAAUGCUUAGAUAUGCCAUAGAACACCGAUUGCGUAGGCAGCUUGCCAAACCUCGAUUGACGCUGAGGCACGAAAGCGUGGGGAGCAAACAGGAUUAGAUACCCUUGUAGUC